rnacentral:rRNA from 1 species
UACGGAGGGGGCUAGCGUUGUUCGGAAUUACUGGGCGUAAAGCGCACGUAGGCGGCUUUGUAAGUUAGAGGUGAAAGCCCGGGGCUCAACUCCGGAAUUGCCUUUAAGACUGCAUCGCUAGAAUUGUGGAGAGGUAAGUGGAAUUCCGAGUGUAGAGGUGAAAUUCGUAGAUAUUCGCAAGAACACCAGUGGCGAAGGCGGCACACUGGCCCGGUACUGACGCUGAGGUGCGAAAGCGUGGGGAGCAAACAGG